UCCUUGAGGCCCACUAGGUUAAGGAUGGAGCGGGUGUGUGGAUAGGAUUGAGCGCAGGAGGCACCGCUAGGCCAGGUACAGCAGGGCAAUGCAAUGCUGGAAGUCUUCAGAAGAAGGUGAUGUCCAGUGAAUUGAAAAGAAAAGCACUAGUACAAACUGCACAGCCGUUCUUAUUCCUGUUUUACUGCGGAUUAAAACCCAAAAGAGGACCUCCACGUGGAACACUUAAUGUUGGAAUGUUGGUGUUUUUCCGAGGCUCAUCCUCAGCCCUCUUUGCUUCCUGACUCUUCCUUUGCUUAUCUGCCUACAGCAUUUUGUGAGUUCUUCUCAGCUUUGUCUCCAUCCUCAAGAUCUGAGCCAAGAACCUGGAGCAUCCUGAACACUACCUCCUCUUCUCAUUGAGCAAAAGAAGAGUGAUCCAUAUCCACAGGAAAUAAUUCUACCAGAAAACAUUCUACCAGGCACAAUUCAUUUGCAUUUUUAUGGCUAAG